UACGUAGGGUGCGAGCGUUAAUCGGAAUUACUGGGCGUAAAGUGUGCGCAGGCGGCCGCGCAAGUCGAGUGUGAAAGCCCCGAGCUUAACUUGGGAAUUGCGCUCGAAACUACGUGGCUGGAGUGUGGCAGAGGAAGGUGGAAUUCCAGGUGUAGCGGUGAAAUGCGUAGAGAUCUGGAGGAAUACCGAUGGCGAAGGCAGCCUCCUGGGCCAACACUGACGCUCAUGCACGAAAGCGUGGGGAGCAAACAGG
rnacentral:rRNA from 1 species